rnacentral:rRNA from 1 species
UGGCCAGACUCCUACGGGAGGCAGCAGUGGGGAAUAUUGCACAAUGGGCGAAAGCCUGAUGCAGCGACGCCGCGUGAGUGAAGAAGUAUUUCGGUAUGUAAAGCUCUAUCAGCAGGGAAGAAAAUGACGGUACCUGACUAAGAAGCCCCGGCUAACUACGUGCCAGCAGCCGCGGUAAUACGUAGGGGGCAAGCGUUAUCCGGAUUUAUUGGGUUUAAAGGGUGCGCAGGCGGAGGUGCAAGUCAGCGGUCAAAUUGCGGGGCUCAACCCCGUACUGCCGUUGAAACUGCAUCCCUUGAGUGCGCGAGAAGUAUGCGGAAUGCGUGGUGUAGCGGUGAAAUGCAUAGAUAUCACGCAGAACUCCGAUUGCGAAGGCAGCAUACCGGCGCGCAACUGACGCUGAAGCACGAAGGCGUGGGUAUCGAACAGGAUUAGAUACCCUUGUA